CCCGGUCCGACCGGCUCCGCCGCAGUGAGGGGCGGGGCAGGGGCGCCGAGGAGCAAGGGGGGAAUCGCCGCAGCGUUAGAGGAGCCUCCUGAGGUCGGGGCAGGGGGUGGGGGACUUCCGGAGUGGAUUAGUGGGGACCUCCGGGUACAGGUCGGAAGACCCUGCUAGGGUGCUCGGAAUGAGAGAGGGGAGCUGAAAUAGAGGACGAGAAAAUAGGGGCAGGACACCUUCGGGAUGGAGGAUGGAAGACUGCAAUCUUUAAACUGAGAGUACGCCUAGCAGAGAGAGAUCACAAGGUUUUCUGAGUAGUUAUGAGGCCCUCGGGAAAGGGGGUGCAGAGAUUCUGCCGCCGGCCCGGAAUAGGAGAGGAAGUAAGACAGUCCUGCAUGGGGCCAUGGUGAACGCUUCAGAGCUACGGAGGAUAGAUGGAGGACCCCUUGCCGCAGACACGGCGUUCCUCUAAUAGCCAGGGCGGCCACCGGGAGAGGGCUCAAGGAACUUUGCAGACGGCUCCGGAAUAGGGGAGGGGGACCUGGAACUGGGAAGGACAGCAGGCCACCUUGAAUGGGGCAAUGGGAGACACUGCAGUGGAUGGAGAAAGGGAUUCCUGGGAGGGGAGAGGGGACACUGUUGCCAAAAAGUCUCCAGUGACCCCUAGGAUUGGAAAUGGAAGACCACCCAGCCCCAGGGAGGGGGACUCUCAGGCAAGGGAUAGGACACUGAGGUCCAGUCAUGCUCCGGUUUGCAAAGGGGGAGAAGGGCGUGUUUGCAGGUGGUACUGGGAGGAUGAGCCAGUCCCACCCUCCCUCCAAAAGGGCUGAUGGGCCCAAGAGAAAAAGAAGAGACCUGGGCUGCCAAGGGCUGGCUGGGGUCCACAAGCAAGAUGGGGAAAGCGAGGUCCAGCGAGGAGGGAACAGGUGAAAUGAGUGGUGAGCCCGGCCCCACCAGAUGGCCUUGGGGCGAGGACAAGCCUGCUGCUUUUUCUGGUCCUGGUGUCCUGUCCUGGUCUCAGAGAGAACCCCGAUCCUACAGAGCCAGAAGGAGGGUGAGAGAGCCAGCCUGCCCAAACUACCUGGCUGAGCCUCUGCAGUCCUUGCCAGGAGAAGAUUUACAGCUGCCAGGAGCUCGGGAAGGUUAUGGAGGAAAGGCCUGGUGCAGUACCCAGGGAGCCUGCAGUGCCUGCCAUGGACUUGGCAACCCCGAGCUCUGCAGACCCUCUCAGUGGCAGGCCCUGCAUGUGAAGGUGGGUGAUCCGCAGACCCGAGCUCCCAUACAGCUGCACAGACCCUGGGCAGAGUGCCGAGCCGAGGCCUGGCUGGCUCCUGCUACUGUGGCUAUGAGCAUUAUUAAUUAAUGCAGUCGGGUGGGAUUUAUGGCG